rnacentral:rRNA from 1 species
AUUGAACGCUGACGGCAUGCCUUACACAUGCAAGUCGAACGGCAGCACGGGUGCUUGCACCUGGUGGCGAGUGGCGAACGGGUGAGUAAUACAUCGGAACAUGUCCUGUAGUGGGGGAUAGCCCGGCGAAAGCCGGAUUAAUACCGCAUACGAUCUACGGAUGAAAGCGGGGGACCUUCGGGCCUCGCGCUAUAGGGUUGGCCGAUGGCUGAUUAGCUAGUUGGUGGGGUAAAGGCCUACCAAGGCGACGAUCAGUAGCUGGUCUGAGAGGACGACCAGCCACACUGGGACUGAGACACGGCCCAGACUCCUACGGGAGGCAGCAGUGGGGAAUUUUGGACAAUGGGCGAAAGCCUGAUCCAGCAAUGCCGCGUGUGUGAAGAAGGCCUUCGGGUUGUAAAGCACUUUUGUCCGGAAAGAAAUCCUUGGCCCUAAUACGGUCGGGGGAUGACGGUACCGGAAGAAUAAGCACCGGCUAACUACGUG